rnacentral:rRNA from 1 species
UACGUAGGUGGCAAGCGUUGUUCGGAAUUAUUGGGCGUAAAGGGCGCGUAGGCGGUUGGUUAAGUCAGCUGUGAAAGCCCGGGGCUCAACCCCGGAGGGUCGGCUGAUACUGAUUGACUAGAGUACGGAAGAGGUAGCUGGAAUUCCCGGUGUAGCGGUGAAAUGCGCAGAUAUCGGGAGGAACACCCGCAGCGAAGGCGGCACUCUGGGCCGGUACUGACGCUGAGGAGCGAAAGCGUGGGGAGCAAACAGG